rnacentral:sRNA from 1 species
AUUUAGCCCCGAUAGAAGCGAUAUCCUCUUAGUGGAACGGAGAGAUGAGAGAUGUAGCCGAAAGCGGGAACUAUG